UACGUAGGGUGCAAGCGUUGUCCGGAAUUAUUGGGCGUAAAGAGCUCGUAGGCGGUCUGUUGCGUCGGCUGUGAAAACCCGGGGCUCAACCCCGGGCCUGCAGCCGAUACGGGCAGACUAGAGUUCGGCAGGGGAGACUGGAAUUCCUGGUGUAGCGGUGAAAUGCGCAGAUAUCAGGAGGAACACCGAUGGCGAAGGCAGGUCUCUGGGCCAUUACUGACACUGAGAAGCGAAAGCAUGGGGAGCGAACAGG
rnacentral:rRNA from 1 species